AGAUGUGGGAGGGACUGAAAGUUGAGGCUUGUGCCAAUUACACAUAUGGGCAACCUGUACCUGGUCAAGCGUUGGUGGAAGUAUGUCGUAAGCCGUUCCCGUACGCUGGCCUGUCUCGUGUGUGUCUUAUCUCAACCGCUAUGAUGAACAACACGGGCUGUAUUUCCCUUGCCGUCAGUGUUUUUCAACACCAAAUUUGAAAAUUACCUGCAGGAUUUCUUUCUAGUUAACGUGAAUGUCACUG